AGCAACCCCUAUCCCCACCAAAGACGCGGAGGCGGAGCUCAGCUGGGACUUGGGACGGCGAGGAUGGGCACCGACGCGACGCAGCUCCCAAAGAUCGACUUCUCCGGCGUGGACCCGUCGGCGCCGGGCACCGGGACCUGGUCGGCGGUGCGCGCCCAGGUGAUGGACGCGCUGGCCACGUUCGGCUGCUUCGACGCGGAGUACUCGGCCCUGACGCCGGAGCAACGCGCCGCGCUCUUCGACGGCGCCGCGAGGCCGCUCUUCGCGCUGCCCGUCGACACCAAGCGCCGCAACUACUACGGCGCCGACAAGCCCUUCCACGGCUACCUCGGCGGCCUCCAGGGCUACGACGGCUACGAGAGCCUCGCCAUCAUCGACGGCAACAAACCCGAGCCCGUCCGCGACUUCGCCGGCCUCAUGUGGCCCGACGGCGGCAGCAACGACGGCUUCUGCAAUGCCGUCCAUGGCGUGGCGGCGCGGAUCUUUGAGCUGGAAGCGGCGGUGCGGAGGAUGGUGAUGGAAGGGCUCGGGGUGGCCAAGUACCACGACGCGCUGAGCGCGUCGACGUGGCACCUGUUCCGGAUGUCGGAGUACCAGGCGCCCAGCGCCGCGGAGAAGACGGUCAGGUUCGGGUCGCAUCAAGACACCAAUCUGCUCAGCGUCGUGUGCCAGCACGAGGUGGAGGGGCUGGAGAUGCAGACGAGGGACGGGCAGUGGGUCCUCGUCAAGCCAUCGUCGACGUCGCUCGUUGUCAUAGUCGGCCAGGCACUCCGGGUAGAACGUUUCAGCAGAUGUGGCCCAUCGCUUAUUUCCCUUUCACAACAUCAAUAGCAGCCAUUCAGGAAACAUUGUCAACCAUGCAGAUUUCAAUUUCAACGGUGAUAAGAUGAAGGCCUAGUCCCAACAGAUCACCAAAAAAGCUUCCUUUGCAGUUCGGCAUUGAAUUCAGCACGCUAAGCUUAACAAAUCACUGAGAAUCUACAAACCGUGCCUGCACUUUCACAGUUACUAAUUUGUAACUUCUCCUACGGUUGAAAGUUCAGACACACCCAUUUCUGUACUGAUCAUGUAGUCUUACUUUCUGCACUGAUGUUAUCUUCUGAUUUUCUGCACUGAUGAUUUUUACCUUACUCUAGGCAUGGACAAACGACCGCUUGCACGCACCAUUUCACCGGAUUUCCGUCGCUGGGGAUGUCACCAGGUACUCUGCCAUACUGUUCUCCGUCCCGAAUUUCAUGAUUCAGGCGCCAGAUGAGCUUGUGGACGACGAGCACCCUCCCCGUUUCAAGCCCCAUGACAACAUGGACUACAUCCGCUACUGUGUUUCGGAAGAAGGUGCUCGCCAGGAAGAUAAGCUCAAGGCGUUCUGCGGAGUAUAGGCAACAUCAUUCAUCUGCGCUUUCAGCCCUGUGUGCACAAUCGAGUUGAGCAAUCUGUCCGGAAGUUUGGCAUUCGUUCUAUAUGAGCACGUCAGAGAUGCCCGUUCCAUUUCUUAAAGUCCGAACUCCGAAACAUGAACAAUCUGGUGCCUUGCCAGGCAUGAAAAGAAACGAAUAAAUUUAUUAUGACUUUUCGCAAUAUUACAGUGUAAAUUGUAAUCACAUAAACUCGAGCUGCAUUCGGUAAA